UUUUUAUUUAUUUUUUUAAAAAUAAAAAAGUUGAAAUUGGUAGUAAUUAAAGUUUUAAAUUUAGAAUCAAGAAUAUUUUUUAUUUUUAAAAAAUUAAAUUUGUUUGAAAAUAUAAAAUAACUAGAUUUAAAUCGAUUGAAAAUAUAAUGUAAAUAUAUAUCUAACUGGGAAUUUUAGAUGGACUUUUUUUGAAACUAACCCUGUGAAAUUUCAUAUUUGCCAAACUAACCCUGUGAAAAUUUUAUUUGUGAAACUAACCCUCCUCUCGCCACCUCAGCUGCCACAUCAGCAUAUAUCACAAAGACGGUGACUCGUUCACCGUCUUUCGUGUAUACUUCUUGAAGACGGUAAAUGGUUAACCGUCUUCUCGAGGCGUGGACCACCGCCAGCAACUCCCCCGCCUUC
rnacentral:lncRNA from 1 species